CUGUGGAGUGAUGGUUCCACUUUUGAUUUUACGUUCUUGGAAUCAAAGCAGCCAUUCCGUGCUCGUAGACGUGAACACUGUAUGGAGCUGAGCGAUAAUGGUGAUACCGGUGACAUACCUUGUACCGAGCUGAACUCUUAUGUUUGUGGCAGGAGCCUGUGAG